UGACUCUUGGUUGUGGGGCUCAUUCCUGCACCAACCACCAUGGCAUGAAGACCUUUUUUUAGUCAUUUCAUUUUUGUUCCUGAAUUUUCUGUUUCGUGGGGGGGGGGUUACCGGUAUAGUUACGCCCCAUGAAUCGUCUUGUUGUUGGUUGCAACUCGUCUUUGGAUUUUCUGGCUUUUCUUUAUGAUGCUUUGCCAACCUCUGACUAGUUCCAUGCUCGAAAUUUGAUCCGGGAUCGAUGUUGAGUCGUCACACAGAACAUCUUUUUAUUAUAAGGGGCAAGCCAUGAAGGCUUACAAAAGCCUUGAUGCCUACAAAAAUUUAAUAUUGGGGAAAGUCAACAAUAAUCUUGUGUGGAAUCAGCCAAUGAAGCGAGGUUGGACAACAACCGUUUCUGUGAUUUUUUUCAAAGAUACACUAUGCAGAGACUCAGUGAUCCUCCUGUGUGUGUAUGGGUGGCUAUCCAAGAGGAUGGAGUUGUUAUUACUGAGUGCAACAUAAUUGAAGAGCUACACCCAUCAGCAAGCCAUGUAUCUCUACCGAGCAGGCCGAAUUACCGCAUCGAAGUUCAAAUCUGUAGUGUGCACAGACCCUGCCAUGUCAUCCACAUACCUGAUUAGAUCAAUCUGCUAUCCAGCUGAAUACAACUUCACAACAGAUGCAGUUGAAAGCUACUCAAAGAGUCAGUCAUCAAGCCAAGAUGGUCUCCACAUUAAAGUUGCUGGCUGGAUUGAAUAACAGCUGGACUGCUGUGUAAGAGCAUGCAAAAGUGUGCGUCCGCGCGCAACUAAAUAACAAUGAAUUUCUUUGUUUUGCUUUUGAAUCAUUCCGUUGUAUCCGAUUAACGGAUAA
rnacentral:lncRNA from 1 species